rfam:Triticum aestivum genome assembly, contig: Triticum_aestivum_CS42_TGACv1_scaffold_061893_1DL
UUACUACUCCCUCCAUCCGAAAAUACUUGUCGAAGUAAUGGAUGUAUCUAUACGUAUUUUAGUUUUAGAUUCAUCCAUUGUUAUCCAUUUCUCCAACAAGUAUUUCCAGACAGAGGGAGUACAUA